rnacentral:tRNA from 1 species
GCCUUCGUGGUGUAACGGUUAGCACACUCGGCGCGUAUUCGAGAGGUCCAGGUUCGAGUCCCGGCAAGGGCA